CCCUGUGUGGCGUAAACAGUUACGUGCUCAACUGGUAACUGAAAGGUUGCUGGUUCAAACCUACCCAUAGGCA
rnacentral:tRNA from 1 species